ACCUGUGGUAGCUCAGUUGGUAGAGCAUGAGACCCUUAACCUCAGAGUCGUGGGUUCGAACCCCAUGGUGGGCA